rnacentral:lncRNA from 1 species
AUGUCCGUCAGAAUACCGAUGUUUUCUUGUAGUGUAGUAGCCAAAUAUAUUAGUUUCAUUUUAGUAAAAAAUAUUAAUAUAACCUAAUUUAUAUUUGAUUCUCAUAAAAAUUUAAAUUUGUUUGAACAUAAAAUGCUAUUAAAUAUGAAAUGGUCCAACAUUGAAAACGCAACAAAUAUUAAUGUUCAAAUAACGUUAAAGAUGAUAAUUUGGACAAAAAAAAAUAUUUACAAAAUAACUAUAUUCAACAAAAUUUUCUUCCAAAAAUCACAAAUGAGUAUUCUUGCAUCUUCGAAACUCCUCCAUAUAUUACAAACACGUGCUAUUUUCUGGUAUAAACCAUCAUCACAGUAGCAAUAGGGAAAUUACCAAAAAUACAAUUUUCAAAAUACCAUUUUUCAUGUUUAAACUAAAUACUUUUACCCUCAUCUUUAAUGAAAGGUAAAAGACAUUUAUAACUUAUUGAUUAAUUUUGACAAAAAAAAUUAACUAAUCUAAACUUAAAACAUAAAAAUUCUAAACCCUAAAUCAUCAACUCUAAACCCUAAACCAUGAAACAUCAAUUCUAAACCCUAAACCCCGAAACAUCAACUCUAAACCUUAAACCCUAAACCCUAAACCUUCAAAUCUAAACCCUAAAACAUCAACUCUAAACCCUAAACAUAAAUCCUAAACCCUAAAUCUAAACUUAAAACAUAAACUUUAAAACCUAAAUCAUCAACUCCAAACCCUAAACCAUGAAUUAUCAACUCUAAACCCUAAACCCCGAAACAUCAACUCUAAACCCCAAAUCCUAAACCCUAAAACAUCA